rnacentral:rRNA from 1 species
AACGAACGCUGGCGGCAGGCCUAACACAUGCAAGUCGAACGCUGUAGCAAUACAGAGUGGCAGACGGGUGAGUAACGCGUGGGAAUCUUCCUAUCGGUACGGAAUAGCUCAGGGAAACUUGGGGUAAUACCGGAUGCGCCCUUCGGGGGAAAGAUUUAUCGCCGAUAGAUGAGCCCGCGUCUGAUUAGCUAGUUGGUGAGGUAAUGGCUCACCAAGGCGACGAUCAGUAGCUGGUCUGAGAGGAUGACCAGCCACACUGGGACUGAGACACGGCCCAGACUCCUACGGGAGGCAGCAGUGGGGAAUAUUGGACAAUGGGGGCAACCCUGAUCCAGCCAUGCCGCGUGAGUGACGAAGGUCUUCGGAUUGUAAAGCUCUUUUGGCGGGGACGAUAAUGACGGUACCCGCAGAAUAAGCCCCGGCUAACUUCGUGCCAGCCGCCGCAGUAA